rnacentral:misc_RNA from 1 species
GUAGGUGAACCUGCGGAAGGAUCAUUACCGAGUUCGUGGGCGCUCUAACCGGACCCCAAACUCCCACCCCAUGUGUACCUGAACCUCGUUGCUUUGGCGGGCCUGCGCGCCCUCAGAAAGCGCGCUGCCGGCUUCGCUGGCCCGCGCCCGCCAGAGGACCCUCAAACUCCUGUUCUUACCGGUGCUGUCUGAGUGUAAAACUUAAUACGUUUAAAACUUUCAACAACGGAUCUCUUGGUUCUG